rnacentral:rRNA from 1 species
AAUUCUUUUAUGGAGAGUUUGAUCCUGGCUCAGGACGAACGCUGGCGGCGUGCCUAAUACAUGCAAGUCGAGCG